AUUGUAGGUGGCCAAUUAAGUCAGAUGUGAAAUCGUAUUGCUCAACAAUACAAUUGCAUUUGAUACUGAAUGGCUUGAGUGCAGGAAGGGAAAUUGGAAUUUGCGGUGUAGCGGUGAAAUGCGUAGAUAUCGCAAAGAACACCCGUGGCGAAGGCGGAUUUCUGGCCUGCAACUGACACUGAGGAUCGAAAGCUAGGGGAGCAAACAGGAUUAGAUACCCUGGUAGUCC
rnacentral:rRNA from 1 species